CACGACUUUGUAAUCGGGACCCACGCCUUUUUACCCACGACCCACGCCUUUUUACCCACGACCCACGCCUUUUUGCCCACGACCCACGCCUUUUUACCCACGACCCACGCCUUUUUACCCACGACCCACGCUUUUUAACCCACGACCCACGCCUUUUUACCCACUACCCACGCCUUUUUACCCACGACUUUUUACCCACGACUUUUUACCCACGACCCACGACAUUCUACCCACGACCCACGACUGUUAGCUAGUCCCGUGAAAACCCGGCGUACGUACCGCGUCGCCGCCGAAUUGCUUAGUGUUAUCCCGUUUCCUGUACGAUGCAUGCAUUUUGCAGUCUAUUAAUCCAAAAAACUUGCGCGUUGGAGCAAUGUCUAAUUGAAAUUAAUGUCUAAUUGAAAUUAAUAAAAUUAUAUGUUAUUAAAAC